GACGGAAGGUGCAAGCGUUGGCUCGGAAUCACUGGGCGUAAAGGGGUGCGAUGAGGCGGGCGCGGUAAGUCGGGUGUGAAAUCUCGGAGCCUUGAACUUCGAAACGUGCACUUCGGAUACUGCCGUGCUUGAGGACUGGAGGAGGAGACUGGAAUUUACGGUGUAGCGGUGAAAUGCGUAGAUAUCGUGAAGGAAGACCGAGUGGCGAAGGCGGGCUCGCUGGACAGU
rnacentral:rRNA from 1 species